rnacentral:rRNA from 1 species
AACGAACGCUGGCGGCAGGCUUAACACAUGCAAGUCGAGCGCCCCGCAAGGGGAGCGGCAGACGGGUGAGUAACGCGUGGGAAACUACCCUUUGGUACGGAACAACUCCGGGAAACUGGAGCUAAUACCGUAUGUGCCCUUCGGGGGAAAGAUUUAUCGCCAUAGGAUGUGCCCGCGUAGGAUUAGCUAGUUGGCGGGGUAAUGGCCCACCAAGGCGACGAUCCUUAGCUGGUCUGAGAGGAUGAUCAGCCACACUGGGACUGAGACACGGCCCAGACUCCUACGGGAGGCAGCAGUGGGGAAUAUUGGACAAUGGGCGCAAGCCUGAUCCAGCCAUGCCGCGUGAGUGAUGAAGGCCUUAGGGUUGUAAAGCUCUUUCGCACGCGACGAUAAUGACGGUAGCGUGAGAAGAAGCCCCGGCUAACUUCGUGCCAGCAGCCGCGGUAAUACGAAGGGGGCUAGCGUUGUUCGGAAUCACUGGGCGUAAAGCGCGCGUAGGCGGACCGUUAAGUCGGAGGUGAAAGCCUGGAGCUCAACUCCAGAACUGCCUUCGAUACUGGCGGUCUCGAGUCCGGUAGAGGUGAGUGGAACUGCUAGUGUAGAGGUGAAAUUCGUAGAUAUUAGCAAGAACACCAGUGGCGAAGGCGGCUCACUGGACCGGUAC